GACGAACGCUGGCGGCGUGCUUAACACAUGCAAGUCGAACGAAAAUACCAAGCUUGCUUGGUUGAUUAGUGGCGAACGGGUGAGUAACACGUGAGUAACCUGCCCCUUACUUUCCUGGAUAACUGCUCGAAAGGGUAGCUAAUACGGGAUAUUCUGACCGGCCUGCAUGGGUUGGUUUGGAAAGGUUGUUUUUUCUGGUGAGGGAUGGGCUCGCGGCCUAUCAGCUUGUUGGUGGGGUGAUGGCCUACCAAGGCUUUGACGGGUAGCCGGCCUGAGAGGGUGGACGGUCACACUGGGACUGAGAUACGGCCCAGACUCCUACGGGAGGCAGCAGUGGGGAAUAUUGCACAAUGGGCGCAAGCCUGAUGCAGCGACGCCGCGUGGGGGAUGAAGGCCUUCGGGUUGUAAACCUCUUUCGUCAGGGAACAAGGCACUACGUUUUGGUGGUGUUGAGGGUACCUGGAUAAGAAGCGCCGGCUAACUACGUGCCAGCAGCCGCGGUAAUACGUAGGGCGCAAGCGUUGUCCGGAAUUAUUGGGCGUAAAGAGCUCGUAGGCGGCUGGUCGCGUCUGUCGUGAAAACUUCCGGGCUCAACCGGGGGGCUUGCGGUGGGUACAGGCCGGCUAGAGUGCGGGUAGGGGUAACUGGGGACUCCCUGGUGUAGCGGUGGAAUGCGCACAUAUCAAGAAAAAACCGAUGGCAAAGCUGGUUACUGGGGCGUUACUGACGCUGAGGAGCGAAACCUGGGGGCAACAAAAUAGAUACCUACUAUUCAAGGGCGAAUACCACGGGGGGUAAGCUUGUCAGACCCCCGCCUCGGGGGGGGGCCGCGUAGCGCGCUUUGUAGAACACAUACACGCAGGAUACACCCCUC
rnacentral:rRNA from 1 species